rnacentral:rRNA from 2 species
GGUUAAGCGACUAAGCGUACACGGUGGAUGCCCUGGCAGUCAGAGGCGAUGAAGGACGUGCUAAUCUGCGAUAAGCGCCGGUAAGGUGAUAUGAACCGUUAUAACCGGCGAUUUCCGAAUGGGGAAACCCAGUGUGAUUCGUCACACUAUCAUUAACUGAAUCCAUAGGUUAAUGAGGCGAACCGGGGGAACUGAAACAUCUAAGUACCCCGAGGAAAAGAAAUCAACCGAGAUUCCCCCAGUAGCGGCGAGCGAACGGGGAGGAGCCCAGAGCCUGAAUCAGCAUGUGUGUUAGUGGAAGCGUCUGGAAAGGCGCGCGAUACAGGGUGACAGCCCCGUACACAAAAGCGCAUGUGCUGUGAGCUCGAUGAGUAGGGCGGGACACGUGGUAUCCUGUCUGAAUAUGGGGGGACCAUCCUCCAAGGCUAAAUACUCCUGACUGACCGAUAGUGAACCAGUACCGUGAGGGAAAGGCGAAAAGAACCCCGGCGAGGGGAGUGAAAAAGAACCUGAAACCGUGUACGUACAAGCAGUGGGAGCACAGGUUUACCUGUGUGACUGCGUACCUUUUGUAUAAUGGGUCAGCGACUUAUAUUCUGUAGCAAGGUUAACCGAAUAGGGGAGCCGGAGGGAAACCGAGUCUUAAUUGGGCGUUAAGUUGCAGGGUAUAGACCCGAAACCCGGUGAUCUAGCCAUGGGCAGGUUGAAGGUUGGGUAACACUAACUGGAGGACCGAACCGACUAAUGUUGAAAAAUUAGCGGAUGACCUGUGGCU